rnacentral:rRNA from 1 species
ACGAACGCUGGCGGCGUGCUUAACCCAUGCCAGUCGCACGGAAAGGCCCUGCUUUUGUGGGGUGCUCGAGUGGCGAACGGGUGAGUAACACGUGAGUAACCUGCCCUUGACUUUGGGAUAACUUCAGGAAACUGGGGCUAAUACCGGAUAGGAGCUCCUGCUGCAUGGUGGGGGUUGGAAAGUUUCGGCGGUUGGGGAUGGACUCGCGGCUUAUCAGCUUGUUGGUGGGGUAGUGGCUUACCAAGGCUUUGACGGGUAGCCGGCCUGAGAGGGUGACCGGCCACAUUGGGACUGAGAUACGGCCCAGACUCCUACGGGAGGCAGCAGUGGGGAAUAUUGCACAAUGGGCGGAAGCCUGAUGCAGCAACGCCGCGUGCGGGAUGACGGCCUUCGGGUUGUAAACCGCUUUCGCCUGUGACGAAGCGUGAGUGACGGUAGUGGGUAAAGAAGCACCGGCUAACUACGUG